CGGGCGGACGGGGGAGUAACGCGUGGGUAACCUGCUCAUACAGGGGGAUAACAGUUGGAAACGGCUGCUAAUACCGCAUAAGCGCACAGUACCGCAUGGUACGGUGUGAAAAACUCCGGUGGUAUGAGAUGGACCCGCGUCUGAUUAGGUAGUUGGUGGGGUAACGGCCUACCAAGCCGACGAUCAGUAGCCGACCUGAGAGGGUGACCGGCCACAUUGGGACUGAGGCACGGCCCAA
rnacentral:rRNA from 1 species